GUAAAAAAGGCCCAGAUUGGAGAUGAAAGCAGCAGCAACAGCGCUCAAAACAAAGAUAAAGAAAGCAGGAGUCGAAGUAAAGCGCUUCUUCCCGGUAGCUGCUGGUACGAUGCAAGCCACAUGCUCAUCGACGGUGUCAUCGCGCCUAGCCAAACUAGAACUGUUGUUGCGAAGUGCUUGGCCGUGAGCGCACAGAGGAACAAGCUGCUGUUCGAAAGCCGCGCGUCUCCAGUCUACAGACUCUGAUGCAGUCUCUACCUAAAAUUAUCAUUGUUGUUUAUUCAAAAAGUUAGCCUUCUAACUCAUUUUAAAAUAAGUUUAAAGUGUUGCGUUUCUUUUAAAUGUUUCGGAGCGAAUUACUCGGGCAAAUAAGUGCACUUAGAUGGCAAUAAUUUUUGGUUUGAGAUGAUAAGUUUAUUUUGUCGCUGUCUAGAAGUUUAUUGAACUGUCCAUGAAACAUCUUGUGCAAUGACAAACAUUUUUAUUUGAAUACCUAUAGGAUUGUUGAACCGACUACCAACAUCGUAAUCAAUGCUGAAUAUUAUUACCUAUAUGGGCAUUUUCCUUAUAUUAUUUUUAUUAAUUGAGCUGAUUAUGUGCAGGUUAUUCGUCUUUCGUCAGAAAAGGUCCCGAUUGUUUUCAUUGACUCUAUAAAUUUAUUUUGUCAAGUUUAUUUAAUUGCGCUAUUUUUACCGUACUAUAGAAGACUAAAAUAAUGAAAAAGUUAGGUUUUGCAAAACAAUUUAUGUCUGACAAGGCGCUUGGUUUGAUCUUUCAUUUCUUGUUCAUACACAAAACUUCAAUAAUUCCACUCUUAAGAGACCUAAUUUUUAAUGCUUUAUACCGAAUACGUCUAAAAUUUUAAUCUGUUGUAUUACUUCUCUGUACAUUACACGAUCAUCUUUUAAUGGGUUCAAACGUAAUAUCGUAUUCAAACGUAAAAUAAUAAUUUUUUAUCAUAUUUUAUUUUACUUGCGUUUUUGAUAUUAUGAGACGCUUCCUCUGCGACUGUUUGAUCCAAGCCGAAUUGUACGGAUUGCUGAUCUCGUGAAGCUCUCCGUAAAAUACGACUUUCAAAAAUGUCUAAAACUUGUGCUGCUCACGCAAUAUCAGUGAACGUUGCACUUGCUUGAAGAGUUUCAUCAACUAUACGCGACUUCCGAAAAGUACAAAUUUCUUCAAAGUCAUGAAGUCUUUCUUCAACUCUGAAAAAUCUUUCUUCAAAGUCGUCCUUGUCGCAAAGAGACACCCGUAAAACUCAGUGAAGGUGUUCGAAACUUACAAGGGACCUUUUUCAUAAUAAGUUUAUCCAUUCGUUUCUUCGUUCCAUAUUUAGUUUGUAAUAUGUUAAAUCAAUACGGAGUGUUUGCAUGUAGAACUCCCUUCAUAUCCCUUCAUAAUUUCCCAUGUAACUUCUUUUUAUUCGAUUGUUAAUUGGUAUGUUUUUCUGGACAGCCUUGUUGAACUAAAGGUAUUGCCGUAAAUCGAAAAUUGGUGAUAAAAAUUUGUGUUAUCUGUCGUCUAUAUUAAACACGAAUUUGAUUUUUUCGUGUGGAAGUAAAGAAGUAUGUUGUUCUCUUCUAAAGCCGUUCUUUAUUUGUACGUUGUUGGGACUACUAUUACAGAUGUAUUUUUUAA